rnacentral:rRNA from 1 species
UACGAGGGGUGCAAGCGUUAUUCGGAUUAAUUGGGUGUAAAGGGUGCGCAGACGGUUUGUUAAGUCACUUGUUAAAUUCUUCGGCCUAACUGAAGGUGUGCAGGUGAUACUGGCGAACUAGAGGAUGGAAGAGAGAAGUGGAAUUCUCGGAGUAGCGGUAAAAUGCGUAGAUCUCGAGAGGAACACCAACGGCGAAGGCAGCUUCUUGGUCCAUAUCUGACGUUCAUGCACGAAAGCGUGGGGAGCAAACAGG